CAGAGUUCAGGGUUGAAAAGCAACUCUGGGUUUUCGGUUUCAGAACAGGUGAUCAGUGUUGGGUUAAUAGACUCUGAGUAUGUUCACUCUGGGUUGAGGGCGUGCCUGUUGACUAUGAAAAGCCAUCAUCAAUGGAUCUCUGAUAACAUGAUCAAACAUGGACCAAAAGCGUAGAUCCACUUACUUUUCCCCCACGGAAUUGGAAAUUCUAAUGAACGUGUAUGCCGAGCAGUUACCCAUUUUAACCAAAAAAAGCAAUACCGCCGCGGCAGCGAGAGCGCGAGAGAGAGCUUGGCAGGAAAUAGCUGAACAAGUCAAUGCCAAAUCAAAAAAAUGCAGAGGCCCGGCAGACUGGAGGGGGUCCACCACCUGCAGCCCUCAGAGGCUGAGGAGAUGGCCCUCAGCCAACAGAGUAUGCGUCCUGUGGCUGAGGGCAUCCCUGGGGGGAGCUCCUCUGAUCCCCCCACCCCCAGGAUAGAAGUGCCUUUACAGUAUAAGAGUUACUGAUGGCGUCAUCGCCCUACUUGAACCAGAUGCCCUCACAAACCUCCAUGCAAUUGUAACAAUUCAAAAGAUGCAAAAGGAUGCUUUGGAGAUCCAAAUUUUGGAACAUAAGUUAUAGGUGGGUGAGGUGCAAACUGUGAUAGGCUACUGUUCCCUGCUCUAAAAACAUACCCAAUAUAAAAUACUUUUUUUUUUUG
ensembl:lncRNA